AUGGGGGGAUUAGGGUUCAAAGACUUCGAACUGUUUAAUCUGGCCAUGCUGGCUCGUCAGGCAUGGUGUCUCUUGCAGAAUCCUGAAACCCUAAGUGCUCGAAUUCUGAAAAGUGUUUACUACCCAAAUAUAGAUCUUCUUGAAGCCGAGCUAGGGGGGCACCCGAGCCAGGUAUGGAGAGCAAAAGUAGAGGGUAGAGACACUCUAAAGCAGGGGUUGAUCAGGAGGAUUGGUAACGGAAGCACAACGGAAAUUUGGACACACAACUGGUUGCCAAGGGACGAGAUGAAAAGGCCCUACGCCUGCCGGACCCUGAACCCACCUAUGCUAGUUUCUGAACUCAUCUCUAAUGUGUCAGCAACAUGGGAUAAGCAGCUGGUGCAAGCAACUUUCUUGCCAAUGGAUGUUCAAGUGAUAUUGGGGAUACCGCUGUGCACUCGCAAUGUUCCCGACUUCUGGGCUUGGCAUCAUGAAAAACAUGGUUUUUUCUCAGUAAAAUCAGCGUACAACAUGCUUGUUGCAACUAGAAACAGAAGGGAAGCAUGGCUCGAGGAGGGGCCAGGGCCGUCUAGCUCCAGGGCUGAGGAACGAGCAUGGAAACAUUUGUGGAAAACUCAGGUCCCAGGGAAAGUUCGUAUGUUCUUAUGGCGUCUAUCUAAAUACUCAUUGCCGACAAAUGAUGUGCAGGCACAUCGCCACAUGUCUGAUUCACCCUGUUGUGGUCUAUGUGGGGCUCGGGACUCAUGGCACCACUCCCUUGUCGAGUGCACCUCCUCGAGAAGCGUUUGGGCUCUUAUGAAUGAGGAGAUUACACAUAAAAUCAUAACAACAACCGAGCCCAAGGCGAAGCAAUGGCUGUUCACUCUGAUGGAUUCAAUGUCCCACAAAGAUUUCGUCCUUGUGGCCGUGACGUUGUUGUCGAUAUGGUACGCUAGGCGGAAAGCCAUCCAUGAGGCGAUAUUCCAAAGUCCCCAUGCCACACAUGGUUUUAUCACGAGCUUCAUUUCUGAACUAGAAGUGGUAAGGGGUUGUCAAGAGCAGAAAGGCAGGGGCGUGCCGACGCUAAUGCAAAGAAAUACGAAGCCGAAAAAGCCACCAACAGGUUACUGUAAAAUCCAUGUUGAUGCAGGAGUCCGGGGAAGGACAGGAGGUUCUGCCACUGCAGUCUGCAGGGAUGAAGGUGGAAACUUUCUUGGCAGUUCUGCUCUCGUGAUCGAAGGGGUAACCGAUCCAGCAAGUCUAGAAGCAAUAGCAUGUCGGGAGGCGCCUAGCCCUCGCCGAAGAUUUGGGUAUUCAUCAUUUUGUGGUUGCAUCGGACUGCCAGCAGGUGGUGUUGGACAUCAGAAGGGACGCACGUGGUCCAUAUGGAGCAAUCAUUAG
rnacentral:rRNA from 1 species